AUUCAAAUAGCUUAUACAAUAGAGCAUAACACUGAAGAUGUUAUUGAGAUUUUUUUUAAUCUUUGAAUA
rnacentral:tRNA from 1 species